rnacentral:lncRNA from 1 species
CUGCACUUCCCUUCCAGCAGCUUCGCCAGCAGUUGGUCUGGGGGAUUUCUGACCUAGCAGACUUUAGAGUUACCUUGGUGGACCACCCAUCAAAGGGAUAUAUGCUGAUGAGGCUGCCCGUGACAGAGCAAAGACAAACAGUGGAGACUUGCAAACUCCGAGUACAUUGUGGGUACUGCUGAAU